UUAUUUAUCUUUUUCUUUCUUUUUUGAACAUAAUUCAUACUUUCUUUAUUUUAUGGAUAUUCACGAUAUGGAGUUUAUGGUAGGUUUACACAAAUUAUCUUUCUAUAACAACAUAUAUAAGUGUAUAACAAUCACCUCUUUUUAACAGGCAUCGUCUUGACAGAUAAAUGAGAUUGUUAUAGAGAGGGUUGACUAUAUAAUCACAUGUGUACCCAUCUGUUUUACGGUUCAAGCCCAAUUUUGUUCAAAUCGAGUGGUAUUUAGAUAAAGCUCUUCUAAACAUGUUCAUUUCUACUUCUUCC
rnacentral:lncRNA from 1 species